AGAGUUUCGAUCCGUCGGCGUCAGGACGAACGCUGGCGGCGUGCUUAACACAUGCAAGUCGAACGGUGAAGCCCUUCGGGGUGGAGUCAGUGGCGAACGGGUGAGUAACACGUGAGCAACCUGCCCCUGGCUCUGGGACAACCACUGGAAACGGUGGCUAAUACCGGAUACGACCUGCCUCGGCAUCGAGUGUGGGUGGAAAGUUUUUCGGCUGGGGAUGGGCUCGCGGCCUAUCAGCUUGUUGGUGGGGUAAUGGCCUACCAAGGCGACGACGGGUAGCCGGCCUGAGAGGGCGACCGGCCACACUGGGACUGAGACACGGCCCAGACUCCUACGGGAGGCAGCAGUGGGGAAUAUUGCACAAUGGGCGAAAGCCUGAUGCAGCGACGCCGCGUGGGGGAUGACGGCCUUCGGGUUGUAAACCUCUUUCAGCUCCGAAGAAGCGAAAGUGACGGUAGGAGCAGAAGAAGCACCGGCUAACUACGUG
rnacentral:rRNA from 1 species